CACAUCCACAAAAAAAAUUGAUCCACAUUCCCAGUCUAAAGUUACCAGGUAGUGCAGCUCUACAUGAUUGUGAAAUAUGCCCCUUGGCAAAACUACAACACUUGUUUUUUUCUAAAAGUUUCAUCAAUACUAGUGACAUUUUUAGUCUAAUACAUGUUGACCUUUGGAGACCAUACCCGGUCAAUUGUAUCUCUGGUGCACUUUAUUUUUUAACCAUAGUUGAUGAUUUC
rnacentral:lncRNA from 1 species